UGGUUCGGUGGUUGAAUUAUUGAAAACUAUGUAACAAAAAUCUCUUAUCCCUCUAAUUUUUAGAUGUUUUUUUUCAGAUUAAAGAGCAAAAAACAAGAAUUGGGGUUAUGAGUUCUUGAUGUAAAUUGUGGGAUUUGCACAAUUUUUGGUUUUAUUUUUGAGUUUCCAAGGAACAAAUCACUCAUUUAGUGUUUCAUUGAGGUUCCAGAAUCUUGAUACAUUCGUCUGACUCUGUGUCCGGUGCUGUAUUGGAUAAGUUUCUGGAUAUAGGAAGAAAUGGCCAUGACAUUUACCCCCUUGUCAUGGUUGCUCUGGAGUGGAAAGCAUCAAGAACCCAAAAUUUCCAAUGGUUCUUUAAAUUCAUCACCUGAAUCGUUAUUGUGGGAAUCGGAUACUUUGAAGUUUCCUCUUGAUCGCAGGAGGGACAUGACUUCCUCAUCAAGAAGGGUUAAGCGGAAAUGGCAGAGUCGUGAGGAACGAAAGAUUGACAGGGAAUAUGAUAUUGUUAUUGUGCCAUCAGAUGGUGGAUGUGUUUCAGGGUCUGAGUCCGAGGAUUCAGAUUGGUCAGUUGGAUGGUUGGA
rnacentral:misc_RNA from 1 species